rnacentral:rRNA from 1 species
AUUGAACGCUGGCGGCAUGCCUUACACAUGCAAGUCGAACGGCAGCGGACCUUCGGGUGCCGGCGAGUGGCGAACGGGUGAGUAAUAUAUCGGAACGUACCUUUCAGUGGGGGAUAACGUAGCGAAAGUUACGCUAAUACCGCAUAUUCUGUGAGCAGGAAAGCAGGGGAUCGCAAGACCUUGCGCUGAUUGAGCGGCCGAUAUCAGAUUAGCUAGUUGGUGAGGUAAAGGCUCACCAAGGCGACGAUCUGUAGCGGGUCUGAGAGGAUGAUCCGCCACACUGGAACUGAGACACGGUCCAGACUCCUACGGGAGGCAGCAGUGGGGAAUCUUGCGCAAUGGGCGAAAGCCUGACGCAGCAACGCCGCGUGGGGGAUGAAGGCUCUCGGGUUGUAAACCCCUUUCAGCAGGGACGAAAUAAGACGGUACCUGCAGAAGAAGCUCCGGCUAACUACGUGCCAGCAGCCGCGGUAAUGUGUG